GGACUCAAGUAGGAAUUUUCUAGGCCAAAGGAACAACAGGUACAAAAGCCACACAGUGAGGCAACAUGCGAGGUGUCCAAAUGCAGCAAGGCCAGUGCCACAGGACAGAGUGAACACUGAGUACAGACUCGUGGAGUCCCGGAGAUGAGCAGAGAUGAACUCCAAGGAGCACAUAGGAUAUGGUAACGGAGUCUCCAGGCCUCUGCAGUGUCUUCAGCCUGUCACCAUACCCGGAGGAUUAUCGUCUUUCCCAUGAGUCCCAGAAUUACAAAGCUCUAGAGACUUGCUGCACAAUACUGUGAAUACAUAACGGAACUGUACAGUUUGAAACUGAGGAGGGAGUGCUGAUGUGAUAUAUACAUAAUGUGUACUUUACUUCAAGGACAAAUUUUGUUUCCAGAAUGAAUUUUGUUCCAUACAAAGAACAGUGCAUGAUGAUGAAGACAAACUGAAGAUCCAAUCGGGUGUUCCCCAACGAUGUAAGACUGGGUUAGCAUGAGAAGUAUUCAGCACUGAGACCAGUGAGUGAGCUAUGUCAAUGGGAAAAGCCCCUGACAGGGUAGAGUGGUGCCUCCGAGGAUAAGAGCACUUGCUGCCCUUCCAGAAGACGGGGUUUGGUUUCCAGCACUCGCAUGGCCACUCACAACCAUC